UCUUGUCUCUACUGACAAAAUUUCUAUGGACUUAUGAUUCUCUCUACAAGUGACAAAUAGUUAAACAUGAAUAAAUAAAACCAUAACAUCAUAGAAAAAAAAUUCAGUCAGAAUUGAAGAUCUGCUACUUUGUACAAGAUACAAAACCAUUCAAGAUACAAAAUUUCAUUGACAAAAAUUUCAUUCAUUUUCGAGUUCGCCUCACCAUUCCAACAUUCAAAAUGAACAAAUAAAUUAUGAGGAGUAAUGAAGUUAGACUCAAGCCAAUUCAAGAUUUCACGUCAAAUUAAAGAGGAAACAUCACAAUGUAGGAAUAGGUGUGAAGAAGUCUCCGGCCACCUCCCACACAUAACACAAAGAAGGGACGCAUCCGGAUCUAAGAUAUGGCGAAGCGCAAGAUUGUCUCUCGUCGGAAUACGAUCAAGGAGUAAGGACAAUGAGAACGCCACUACCUUUGAUGGACCCGGACUCUUCCAAAUUAAAGAAAAAAACCCCUUCUCUAAGUCUCCAACACCCUAAUCCACAAGCAAUGUAUUUUCUAAUAUAACAUAGGCGGAUUUUACCGAAAACAAACCAUCCUCACCCGGCAUCCACAACCACUUGUCCUUGUGUUAUUUUUAAUAUUUGAUUUCUAUGGAUUUGUGAUUAAUUAAAUGAAAUCUGAAAGUUGUUGCUUGGUAAGUAUCAGAGGUUGUGGAUCGGCAUAGACAUGUUUAAACUAGAAGGAAACUUCUUGGUUUGUUGGGGAGGGAGACA
rnacentral:lncRNA from 1 species